GGCGCAAAGUGGCGCAGUGGGUAGCGCGCUUGUCUACAAAUCUGACAUCGCGGGUUCGACCCCCACUGGGGCUA